rnacentral:rRNA from 1 species
GUGGGGAAUCUUCCGCAAUGGACGAAAGUCUGACGGAGCAACGCCGCGUGAGUGAAGAAGGUUUUCGGAUCGUAAAGCUCUUUCGUUAGGGACGAACGUGCUCUUUGUGAAUAAUGAGGAGUAAUGACGGUACCUAAAUAAGAAGCCACGGCUAACUACGUGCCAGCAGCCGCGGUAAUACGUAGGUGGCAAGCGUUGUCCGGAAUUAUUGGGCGUAAAGCGCGCGCAGGCGGGAUAUCAAGUCUGUCUUAAAAGUGCGAGGCUCAACCUCGUGAGGGGACAGAAACGGGUAUUCUUGAGUGUCGGAGAGGAAAGUGGAAUUCCAAGUGUAGCGGUGAAAUGCGUAGAGAUUUGGAAGAACACCAGUGGCGAAGGCGACUUUCUGGACGAUGUCUGACGCUGAGGCGCGAAAGCUAGGGGAGCGAACGGGAUUAGAUACCCGUGUAGUCC